rnacentral:rRNA from 1 species
UACGGAGGGGGCGAGCGUUAUUCGGAAUCAUUGGGCGUAAAGGGCGCGUAGGCGGCCCCGUAAGUCUUGGGUGAAAGCCCUCGGCUCAACCGAGGAAUUGCCUUGGAUACUGCGGGGCUCGAGGCUGGAAGAGGGCAGUGGAAUUCCCGGUGUAGCGGUGAAAUGCGCAGAUAUCAGGAGGAACACCAAUGGCGAAGGCAGAUCUCUGGGCCGUAACUGACGCUGAGGAGCGAAAGCAUGGGGGAGCGAACAGG